rnacentral:rRNA from 1 species
AGCGGAGGAAAAGAAACCAACAGGGAUUGCCCCAGUAACGGCGAGUGAAGCGGCAACAGCUCAAAUUUGAAAUCUGGCCCCCCGGCCCGAGUUGUAAUUUGCAGAGGAUGCUUCUGGCGACGCGCCUUCCGAGUUCCCUGGAACGGGACGCCACAGAGGGUGAGAGCCCCGUCCGGUCGUGCGCCUAGCCUGUGUGAAGCUCCUUCGACGAGUCGAGUAGUUUGGGAAUGCUGCUCUAAAUGGGAGGUAUACGUCUUCUAAAGCUAAAUACCGGCCAGAGACCGAUAGCGCACAAGUAGAGUGAUCGAAAGAUGAAAAGCACUUUGAAAAGAGGGUUAAAUAGUACGUGAAAUUGCUGAAAGGGAAGCGCUUAUGACCAGACUUGGGCCCGGUGAAUCACCCAGCGUUCUCGCUGGUGCACUUUGCCGGCCCAGGCCAGCAUCAGUUCGCGCCGGGGGAUAAAGGCUUCGGGAAUGUAGCUCCCUCGGGAGUGUUAUAGACCGUUGCGCAAUACCCUGGGGCGGACUGAGGUACGCGUUCUGCAAGGAUGCUGGCGUAAUGNUCAUCAGUGACCCGUCUUG